CUGGUAUACUGACACGGGGUUCUCUGAACACCAAACUCCACCAUGGGGACAUGCUGUGUUUCUCACCAUGGGCACAAUUGAUACUUUGGGUGGGAUAUUUCUUCAGCACGUGGGACUGUCCUGUUCCUUGUGGGAACAUUCAGCACCAUUUCUUUUUCCCAUUAAAGAGCAGCUGAAGCCCCAGUCAUUGUGGGACAAGAUAAUGAGUGCUAUCAGGACCUUUCCCAACAUUCCUAGAUACGGAGGAUGGGUAGUGGGGUGGUGGUCCCCUGGUGGAGAACCUGUGUUAGGAGGCCAGGGAAAUAAUAUUCUUCCUCUUCCUUCCUCCCCUGUCCUUAGGUCUGUAUUACCCACAUGCCCCAGGGCUUCCCAGGGAAUGACGAGUGCAGAUGGAGAGACCUGCCAAUCCUUAACAGUCCUGUGGAACCUACAUUCUUAGCUCUAUGAAGAACUACUCAAGGACGAGGCUUACCUCUUGCCAUAGCUUUGCCUGGGGCAGAGCACAGAAUGGAUCUUAAAGACACACUCAAAAAAUUUGGAUGAUUUGAAAAAAAUACUUAAAACUUCAGAGUCUGGCUGGGUAGCACGUGCAGUUACCUCCAUAGGAACUGUGAUGCCAUUGAUAUUUAGGGAAAACACUGCUUCCGGCAUAUUAUCGACCCCCCUCCAUUCUCUAUUUUGUACUUCAGGACCAGCAAUUAGUCAAGUGUGAAACUUUCUUUAUCCUAUGUGUCUUUUCAAUUUUAUUUCAUAGAUUCUCCACAUUUUGCCUAAUUUUGGGAGGCUCCCUCUCAACUUCAUAGCAUCAAGUUGCUUCUGAGUUGUACCCAGGAUUUCUUCAUCGUCUGGUGCAGGUGUAAAAAGGUUAUCCACAAUAUUUUCACCUUCACGAUCUGUUGCUGUUUG
rnacentral:lncRNA from 1 species